CUCGUAGGUGGCCAACUAAGUCAGACGUGAAAUCCCCAGGCUUAACCUGGGAACUGCGUCUGAUACUGGAUGGCUUGAAUUCGGGAGAGGGAUGCAGAAUUCCAGGUGUAGCGGUGAAAUGCGUAGAUAUCUGGAGGAAUACCGGUGGCGAAGGCGGCAUCCUGGACCGAGAUUGACACUGAUGAGCGAAAGCCCAGGGGAGCAAACCGG
rnacentral:rRNA from 1 species